rnacentral:rRNA from 1 species
UACGGAAGGGGCAAGCGUUGUUCGGAAUCAUUGGGCGUAAAGGGCGCGUAGGUGGUUCUGUAUGUCUAUCGUGAAAGCAUACAGCUCAACUGUAUUUUGUCGGUAGAAACUGCAGGACUUGAGGCUGGGAGGGGCUGGUGGAAUUCCCUGUGUAGCGGUGAAAUGCGUAGAGAUGGGGGAGAACACUCGUGGCGAAGGCGGCCAGCUAGACCAGUUCUGACACUGAGACGCGAAAGCGUGGGGAGCAAACAGG